UGGGGUGGGAGGUGGGGGACCACGGAGUGAGAUGUGGCUUCCCAGGACCCUUCUGGGUAUAGCUCGGAGUUCACAGGCUUGGCCCCAAGUUUACUGUUAACACUCAUGUGUGAGACAAGCACAGCCCGAGGACUGUACAGCACUCAGCACACUGGAAAACACUAGGAGGGGCAGCGGGAGGGUCCCAGGCUAAGAUUAUCUCAUUGUGGCUGAUUUUUCUUUGUUCUCUUUGCAUUGCUGGGGAUGAGCCAGGAGCCUCAGGGAUACUAAGGCUGGCUCCCAGUCCCUCCCUGGGGGGACACUAGGCAGGUGCUCUACCUCUGAGCCGUGCUCCCAACCCUUCCUUGGUAGAUUCUAGGCAGGCCCACUACUACUGAUCCGCACCCCCAGCCCUCUUGCAUCCGUAUUUGGUUGAAAAGCAUCGUAAGAAGGGAUAGAUAGAAGAAACGAGAAGCCUCCCCACCCCCCUUUAGUUUGCAAGUAGUUAUCUAUACCAGUGAGGACAGACUCAGCACAGAUGUAGAGUACAAGAGUCUGAGGGAGGCUGCAGCGAACAUGGGAGGGAUCUGUCUCUGCUAAUCCCGUUUUUUCUGUUUUAUAUUCCCCGAAGCAGCCCUGUUCCCAUCUUAUCUGAUGUGUUCGUAAUUGCUCUCUCCCAUUAUAAGGAGGACGUGGCACACGCAUGAACAUGCCAAGGGCAUCUGUCCUCGAGGAGCGUGGCUCUGAUUUGUGGUGCGCACUGCACAAGUCUCUCUUUGGAUUUUAUUAUUUGCGAGGGAGCUCAAGUUGAGUGUGCCAGGCACCACCAUGGUGGGUGAUCCAAGUUGCCACCCCUAGGCUUCUUCUAAGUAAGUGGGGUGGAGGGGAGACAACAGGGGAAGAUGGUGGGUUCACAGCGUUCUGUCUUCACACUCAGACCCAGCUUGUGGUUCAUGGCUGGAGAGGCCCAACACUUCCAGUGGAGGAACAGGAGCCACAAGCUCUUGGCUACUCCUCCUCUGUGAGGGUAGGGGUGGGUGAGCAACAGCAGUGUUCAUGGGGACAGCCAGUGGUCCAUCAAGGCCAGCUAUAGCCCCAGACCCAGGAGAUCACGCAUGCAUCAGAAUAAAGACAGAGGCCUUGAAGGGUUCAUUUGGCCAAUGGUGGGAUUAAAGGGCAGAUGGGCCAGUCUCCAGAAUGGGACUGAAACCUUGUUGUGUGUCCUGACACAGUGGCCCAGAGGCUACCUCCCCUAUUGCCAGGGUGUGGGUCAGCUGAGGCAAUUUCUGGGUUGUGAAGGUAUUCAUUAGCUUGACACUGAAAGAACCUGUCAGCCUCUCCCCCCAACCCCCAGCUCCCUGUAAACUCAAGAGCCUUCCUCCAUCAGGCCUGGGGUUGACCCUGCCUGGGCCAAAGGGUUAAGAAUGCCAGCCGUCUCUUCUGUUACUCAGUCAUCUCUCACAGUCCUUCUGCAAGCCUCUCCAGCUAGCCAGGUAUGUCCUGCAUUUACACUCGGUGAUAAGAUCUUCACUUGAACGUUCCUUCUGGUACAGCCACAGGUGUCCCUUCCUUGGCCAGUGACCCUCCUCCUCCGGGAUUCUCUUCACUGCCCACAACCACACUGUCUGCCUCUUGUUUGUUUCUUCACAUCCAGAAAAACAGCUCCAGGAAAAGGGCCUGGUCCUCUUUGCUGUGUCCGCUAUUUCUACCUAGCGUCAUACCUGCACAUAGCAGGGCCCAGCAGACCUUAGUGGGAUCUGGGGGUUCGUUUCGAAAGGCGUAGGCCUUUCUAGGGUGUUUGGCCGAGAAAUGAGCUGUCAGAACCCAGUCCAAGAGUGGGUGGGGAUGUGAGGGGAAUUCUGAGUGUGUGUGAGGAAACAAGAGCUUUGUGACCUCAAUUUCUUCAAAACCACAGAACUGUCUUUGGGAUGAGUUUCUGUGCCCUCCCGGGGGUAGCGGAUAGGAGUGAGUUUACCUCAGCUUAUUCAUCACAGCCAGCUAUUAUUUGCUUAUAUGCCUACAGAGAAACAGGAUUUUGCCACGUGCUGUUUGCCCGCCCCGUGCACCUUAACGUCGUGAGUGGACACGUGGCUCACAGGAGCCCUAGCCCUCAGGGUACAGGUCAUCUGACCUCUGGCUAAAGUUGGCUGCUCGUGAGACGGUCAUCAACCUCAUUCUUUUUAAGGCUCCACGCUCCCAGGUCUGCGGAGGCCGGGCUGGGGUAGGGAGGAGUUGCAGGUGAGAGGUACAGAGGCAUCUGGGGACCUGGCAUGAUGGGGACAGCUCAGGCUGUUUCAUUCUCUACAUCUUCCAUGGCUCAAUGACAGUCGUCGCCCCUCAGUCUCUCCUCUCCCAGUUCCACCUGCCCCACCUCCCCACUGUAAUCUUGUUUGGCAGCAAUUAAAUUUUAAAGUCCCA